rnacentral:rRNA from 1 species
CUCUACUGCUAUACCACCCUGAAUGCACCUGAUCUUGUUUGAUCACAGAAGCUAUGUCAGGCUGUAUUAGUGUUUGGGCAGGAGACUGCUCAGGAAUACUUUUAAUUUUAUAGAAG